CGUGGCGCCGGCUGCCGCCACGCCCGCCCCGGCUGCAUCAGCAUGGCAGGUUUUCCCCCCGGCAUCAGAGCCCUGCUUGGGCGCCCCCUGGGCGUCGGCUGCCCCGCCGCCAUGGGCGGCGCCCUCGCUUACAGGGUAUCAGUCUCCCCACGCCCUCCACGGUCCUUUGCAAUGCGGGUCCACGCAGGCGUCCGUAUCGACGGCUUAUUUUACGCACGGCGGGGCGCUCGCGGUAACAGCUCAGCAAGGCUACGCGGGGAGCCAGUCCUUCCCCGGGGGGUUUGCGUGGCCUCCGGCCCCAGCAUUCCCUUUUGCCGCCAGUAUGCCUUCCAUGGGUUUCUUGACCACGGCCGACACACAGUUUUCCCCGCGUGGGGCCAGCGCGUGCGCCGGCGGGCAGUCCACGUGGUCGGUCGGGGGACCCCGAGUCGCGGUGCCCAUGCCGGCCUUUGCGGGCCUGCAGCCAGGACAGGCACCGGGCGGGGGGUAUCAGGUGGCACAAGGUUGGCCCCCUCUCCCGGCACCCCCUCAGUUCCUUCCGGCUUCAUACGGAGGGGCAGGAGCAGGCGUCUGCCUGCCGCAUGCGGCUUGGCGGCCAUCUUACCCCGCGAUUUUUGGCGCAGCAAGCGGGUCGGCCUUUACGCAGUCGAUCGGGUACACCUCGGCGGGGGCCCCCUCCCUACAGUUGCCGGGCGGCCAUCCGCCGCAGAGCGGAGGGGCGGUCCCUCCGCCGCCGCAAUUGCGGGCAAGUGUUAAUAAUGUUCUGGUUCCCCCUGUGCCUGUGGUCCCCUCUUCUUCUCCCUCACAGGUCCCGCCUAGUUCGGGGGCUACAACCGGCAUGAGGCGAAGAUCACGGACAAGCGGGACGGCGAACGUGGAGGUACGGCCAUCAGCGGAGGCGGGUGCAGCGGACGAAGAGGUUCCGGGUCCUUCGAACUCCGCUGUCAUCAAUUUUGGAGACCACAUAUGGAUGGUUGGUCAUUCAUACGUUUUUUGGGCAGAGAAACAUCCCAUGGCGGCUAGGGCGAAUGAGAUUUUUGGGUCCAGGCAGUUUAGAUGGCUAGGUGUUAGGGGCAUGUUAUGGGGUGAUUUGUUGCGCGUCCUGUUUGCACGGGAGCGCCGCUGGGGUCGCCCCAGUUGUAUUAUCAUCCAUCUGGGUGGUAAUGAUCUGGGCCGAGUGAAAGGCAUAGACUUGAUUUUGUCUAUAAAGGCGGAUGUAGUGGCUAUACGUUGUCACUGGCCUGGGGUAUGCAUUGUCUGGUCGGAAAUGGUGCCCCGUUUCCAUUGGCGUGGUGCGGUGCGUUUCUCGGCGCUGGAGAAAGCACGCAAAAAGGUGAACUCGACGGUGUCUCUGUUUGUCAAGGCCAUAGGCGGAGUGGCAAUUAAGCAUCCUCUGCUGGUGCUGCGGAACAGACAGUUCUAUAGAGACGAUGGGGUUCACCUUUCUCCGGAAGGAGUGCAGUUUUUUCUGGAAGAUAUUUUCGGUCUUUUUCGGUAGAGCUAGUUUGUUUCUGGUUGGUUAAGUUUCUGUUUGCGGAUGGCGGUGGCGGUUUGGUAAACCUUGGUGGCGGGAAAUCGCUGCCAACCAGCUGUCACACAGGCAUAAGUGGUCAUUGUGGGGCUCCCUCUUUAAAUGGACGGCAGGUGUGUCCUUUUCUUGCGGUUGGACAUUUAGACGUUCCCCUGCGGGAACCGAACGUUUGCCAGAGAAAGAGGGGUAAGGCCAGCACAAUGCGGGUUAUGCGGGAAGGAGGCGGGGUAUGUGUACUCCCCUCCUUGGUUUGGUGGUUUCCAUCUAGGUGACGGGUGCUGGUGGUUUGGCAGCGGUUUUCUGUUUUUGCCAUCCUCCAAACUAGAGUUAAUUAUAUAUUCAAUUUCAAUUCUAAUUCGGCCUCAAUUAUUAGUUUAAAGAGUUGGUCAGCGAUUAAUAAACAUCGUCUGACCUUUAACUCCA